UCUAGCGGUUUGUGAACUACGUAUGGCAUUUGUAAGAGCGGAAAACGAUGAUUUACUGCCAGCUUUCGUGGCGUCUGCUAUACCUAUUUUCCGUAUUCAAUGGCAAGAAAGUGAAAAUUUUAAAUAUUAUGCCCCGUAUUUUAUUAGCCCAUCAGAAAGGGAAUUUGCCGCGAAAUGCCGGAAACCGAUGCCAUAAACUCAAGGAAACCGGUAUUGCAACUGAUAAAGAAAUGUAGCUCAUUUUAAGCACAGCAUAGUGGCAUUUGAAAAAUUAAAAAGUAUGCAAACAGAAAUAGGAUACCCUGAGCUAAAAGUGAAACAAGAUGUCUACUAGAUGGAAUUCUUCUUUAAUUAUAACAGAAAAACUUUUAGCGAUAAAAACCCACUAUCAGCUGCUAUAACAUCGUUACCAUGAGCUCCAGAAUUCAUUACAGCAACAAUGGGAUAUGUUGACAGACUUAGUCUCCAUCUUGAAACCAUUUGGAAAGAUGAAUAUUGAAUUGUCAGGUGGGAAAUAUGCAACCAUUUCGCUAUAAGAAACAACCAGUAGAACGUUUAAAACUUGCUUUACAAAUUAAUGUUAGAAGACGACUUGGUAUUUUAGAAUCAAAUCUUUGUUCAAAAGCAAAGGUUUUCGAUUCCAGAUUUAAAAAAGCUGCAUUUGGUGAUGAGGAAAAUACAGACACAGUGCAAAAAUUAAUUAUUACUGAAAUGUCGUCUAUUUUGCAAAAUAAAAGUGAGACAGUUGAAAUUGUAACUAACAAUAUCGAUGAUGAAAAAAAACAUUGGUACCAUUUUGAUCGAGUUGUCACUUUGAAAAACGGUUCAACAACAAGCACGAACGCAACUUUGAUUGUAAGAGAAUAUUUAGAGAUGUCUCUUAUAACACAAACUCAGAAUCUAAUUAAAUUUUCGAUGCGCCACACAAAUAUAUACGGCCAAAUUAUGAAUGAACAUUGAAACAGACUUUCUGAAAUCUAUUUUAAGUAAUAUAUUUAUAAUAUUGUUUAGUAUGUUAUAUUAAUACUGUCAGACGACUCUUGUUAAAUGACUCAAUGAAUAGCUUACUUUCGA